UACGUAGGGUGCGAGCGUUAAUCGGAAUUACUGGGCGUAAAGCGUGCGCAGGCGGUUUUGUAAGCCAGAUGUGAAAUCCCCGGGCUUAACCUGGGAAUGGCAUUUGGGACUGCAAGGCUCGAGUGCGGCAGAGGAGACUGGAAUUCCUGGUGUAGCAGUGAAAUGCGUAGAUAUCAGGAGGAACACCGAUGGCGGAAGGCAGGAUCUCGUUGGGC
rnacentral:rRNA from 1 species